ensembl:lncRNA
GUUUUGCUGGAGUUCACUGUGUACCUGAGGCCUUCUCUUCUGAGAGUCCCCCAAUGGGAAAGGGGUACCAAAGAAGUAAGCCUGACUAGCCAAUAUGCUGACAGCUUUUCACAGUUCAAGAUCUAAAAUUUUAUCGUUUGUGGGACUGUGGCACACCAUGCAUGAGGAAAAGACAAGGACCUGACUGUCUAGGUUGAAGAAGAGGAGCCUCAGAUCCCUAAAUUACCUCUUCAAUUACUUGAAGUGUACUAUACAGAAGAUGAAUCCAGACUCUUCUCAGAAAAGCACGUGUGCAAGGUGAAAUGAGCACAAAUUGCAGCAAGAAAUUUUCCACCUAGAUAAAAGGAAGAACAAAUGUCACAAUCAGAAUGGUCAAACACUGCGACCAGCAUACAAAGAGGCUGUGAAGUCUCUGUUCUAGGAAACAUUCAGAGCAGAGCUAGAUACAGCAACCCAAAUUUGAGUACAGUCCCAUUCUGAGAAGGAGAUUAGACCAGAUGGUCUCCUCAAAUUUGAAUAUACAAUUUUGAGUGUACCAUAAUUUAUACACCAAAACUGCAACUCAGACUAUUAAUAGAGUGUUUUCUUCAAAGUGAAUUUAUCUUUAACUGUACUGAAUGUUAGACCAAAGCUGAUUCGUUCUACCAGCAGUCUAACCAAAUAGUUUCUCAAUUUAGUUGUGCUGUAAAUGUCUUAGUCUCCUGAAGAUGGAAGACAGUAGGCAAUUCACACAAAGAGGCAUUAAAAACAGUAAUCUUGGUUAAAUAUCUAAUUUAUGAAGUUUCAUGAAUGGUAAUGGGUGUUAGAGAUGUAAAAUCUAAGUGUUACCUCAAAGACAAUGUGGUAACCUGAGAUCACCCUUCAUGGAGGGUAUGGAAGUAUGUGGGUAAAGUCAGAUAAAAUGGCGACAGUGCCUUUUCCAGCAGCUUUGUGGAUUUGUUCUGGUAUGUUUUUUUUUUUUUUAAUUGUUUUUGGAAUGCAGUGUCUAAAUUCAUUCAGUUUGACUCUUGUGCUGUGACAGCUGAUUUGGAGUGAGGACAGAAAUAUGCAAGUAUUGCAUUCAUUCUCUUAUCCUGUUUGCUAUUCUCAGCCCCAGGUUUAGAGACACCCAAGAUCUAGAGCUAGUGCUGUGUGAUUGUAUGACAGUCUUCCUAUCACACAGAUUAACUUAUUAAUGACACAGAACUCCAGUUGGGAGUGUAAUCUGCAAUGCUGAGUACUAGACAAUCAGAAAACCUCCUUAUAUGUUCUGCAUAACAAACCUGAGGAGUAACAUAGCAGCAAGCAUC